AGGAGGCGGCUAGGCGUGGCUGAGUCCUUGGAAGACGUGGACUUGGAAGGAUUAAUGCAAAACUUACUCUAUGAACAGACUUGCUCCAAAUGGCACCGAUUAUUUAUGGGCAGAAUAGCAGCCCAAAUAAAAGUCUGCAGGGCACAAAAACAGGGUCAACAGUGCGCAGACUCGGCAGAAACCACGAGACUGCGUCUGCAAGGACAGAUAGAGGUUAAGGCAUGAGCAAAUGUGAGCAGAAGCAGGACUUCACGGAGGGGGCAUCGCAGGUGACAGCACUAAAUCACUACUGUGAAUCCACGCUCAUCGAAAGGCAUGAAGGAACCUCGCUUUGCUGUGUUCAUCGCUGAUGCUGGUCACACUUAUUCCUUAACCGACCCAAUCAGGCCAUUUGCAGAUGGCCCCCCAGUAGUGGAAGAGGGCUGGUGUUCCCUUCUCUCCAGAGCCAGUUACAGAACCGGCUGCAACCUGUGUCCUCAGACCCAUCUUCCCCGGCUCUGGCUCCGUCCUUUAGGAGUGAUUUAUCCUGGGGUCUGACUCCCGAGCAGAGCCGCAGUGUCGGCCUUGAAGGAAAGCCAGACGCAGCCCGGCCUGGCUCUGGGCCAGCCAGCUGGCGGCGGAGCUGCGGGCUCUUGGGGUCCCCCGGCCCCCCUUUCAGCUGUCUCGCCCAGGUGAUCAUCCACGCUGCCGCUCCCUGGCUCUUUCUAGCCCCUCAUUUCAGAUCACUUUACACACGUUAAUUAAGCCUUGAAACACUCAGGAAAGAAAAUCGAAGCGCUAACUGGGAUGUCAGCCACGCCCCUCCCCAGUCAGGAGGAAGAAGGAGCUGGUAAAGCACGGGGUUGGGAUGAACCGGUUCCACAAGAGGCAGGAAACCCCGUUCACUUCAAAUUCACCAGUCAGCGUCACAGAACAACCUCCCACCUCAUGGUCCCCCAUCACGGUUGAUCCUGGUGACCAUCGGAAGGCGGGUUCCCCUGGGCAAGACUGCUGACUGAGAGGCAGCAUCCAUCCUAAAGGAAAUCAACCCUGAAUGUUCACUGGAAGGACUGAUGCUGAAGCUGGAGCUCCAAUGCUUUGGACACCUGAUGCGAAGAGCUGACUCACUGGAAAAGACCCUGAUGCUGGGAAAGACUGAAGGCGGGAAGAGAAGGGGAUGACAGAGGGUGAGAUGCUUCAGUGGUAUCACUGACUCAGUGGACAUGAGUUUGAACAAGCUCCGGGAGUUGGUGAAGGAUGGGGAAGCCUGGCGUGCUGCAGUCCAUGGGGCUGCAGAGAGUCGGACACGACGGAACAACCACCAUCUGGGUCAUGCUGUUAGGAAGCCUUCAGUCUGCACCGCAGUGGUGAGGCUUAUGGUCACGGCUUUGGGAUCAGAGAGGCCUUGGCCAUCCCCGGCCCUGCCACUUUCAGCUGCUGUCCCGUGCACUUUACUCGGAAUCCUGGAUCCCGCUGUUUCUGCUGUUAAAGGGACAUGAGAGCAUCCACCCCUGCCACCACCAUCCCCACCCCCCACCCUGCCAACGUGGUUUCUGCGGAGGAUGAAAUUAGAUCAGGCAUGCAAAAUAUUGAGGACCAAAAUGUAAAACAUAUUUAUGUUUGGCACAUAAAAUGGUAUAUUUUAUAGUUUUCUGAACCAUCUCCCUAGCUAAUCCCAGUCCAUCUGAAUUAAUGCAGUUCUCUCGCUGCGUUGGAAGCUUUUUCUCAAAUUAACACUGAAGUCUCUCAUUGACAAGAAAUGGUUGGGGGAUCCCCGUGAAGCCUGUAGUUCAGUUGACAGCGUAUACCAUUUCCGUGUCUUAGUUUUGAUAAAUAUGUCACGGACAUUUUCACAGUGUGGACAUUUCAGGAAGUUGGGUGAGUGGUCCUGGAACCCUUCUUUCUUUGCAACCAAUGCUCAGCUGACAACAGCAAUAAUCCUAUUAAAAUGCGUCAAAAUCAGUAACGCUCACCCAGUAGGGGAGAACAUCAUCUCUGCUUUUAGUACACAUUAAUAAAAAUACCUCCUUAGGGUUCAAAAUUGCCCAUUUUUGUUGUUGUUACCAAAAUAAGAGGCAAUUGAAUGUUAUCUCUAGCUGUUUUCACCACCAAGAAAAAUUCCUUGAGUUUCCAGGGUCGGCAGGGCACCAUCUUGAACGUUAAAAUAACAAACAUUACCAUCAGGAAAAAUAAAGACAGAAAAACACCUGCGGGGGAGUCAUUUUAAGGUGGGUGUUCGGAUGUGAGACAUUUGAUAACUUUACCAUGUAAGCCCCCAGCGCGUCCCUUCCUUCAGGGGAAAGGGAUGACUCUCCGGGCAGUCAGCUCCAGCCUUCCCUUCUGGUGGGCAGCGACGACGAAGGACAGUCCUGUCGAAUAACACCACGAUGACCCCGCUGGCCACCCAGAGGCCAGCUUCUGAGACGUUCACCUUAAAAUGCUGAGGAGACCUUUCCUCUCUCUCACCUGAAGGCGACCUGAGGUCUUUAUUUUUAUUCCUUACUUUUAUUACCGCAUUUCUUGUACCAUGCAAAUUGUGAUGUACUCGUGGGGGUCAGAAGGAGAUUUCCAAAGGGCAGAUGGUGAGUUCUGCUAAUGGCGCUGACGUGGAGAUGGUGAAUAUCCUGUAGCCAUGUUACAACAGGUUCAGGGAAAGAGCCGCUGCUCUCAGGAGUGAGGAUAUA
ensembl:lncRNA